UCCUUCACUCUCGGAGCUGGACAGACUGUCACUGUGAGUCUCUCUUCAUUUCUCUGUGUGUGUUAGUUGUUGACUACAUGAAGCUGCAGCUGAAACUCUGCAGACUGACUCUGCUUCAAACAUCACUGACUUCACCUGAAAUAAAACCUUUAGUGCUGUGAUGACCCAGUGAUAGUCUACUGCAGAACCAAAUGCCAUGUUUGCUUCUUUAUGUUUGACUCAUGAUUGAUUCACAGUUUAACCUCCAAAUGUUCACUUGUCUGGUAAAUCAGUGAUGUGUGUUCUUUUCAGAUCUGGGCUUCAGAUAGUGGUGUCAAAGACUCUUACCCCACUGACCUGGUGUGGAGUGGUCAGAAAUCUUUAGGCCAUGGAAACCAAACAGUGGUCACUGUCUUCAGCAGCUCUGGACAGGAAGUGACCACGAAGACAUUUACAGCCAAACAUGGACUAUGCGCUGUGAGCUAACAGCCAUGAAGACUCCAAUAAAACACAACCAGAACAGAACAACCGUUAUUCUAGACUCUUAGUGUUUUUAAGAGUCCACAUGCUCAUGUACAUGUUUUACAAUAUUUGCUUUGAAAAACAUUUAAGAUAAAACUGUAUAAAGUCAUAUUUGUACUUUGUACUGAUAAAUCAACAACUGAGCUUCUUUUAUUUUCCAUGUUUUGUGCAUCAAGCCAGUGUUGUGACCUGUGUGAAGGCUGUGAUCAUACAUCAGCAGGAAAGUUUCAACCUGGAUGUUUUUAUUCAUGUAAGAGUGAAAUAAAUCUGUCCAUCUCCA